rnacentral:rRNA from 1 species
UACGUAGGGGGGCUAGCGUUGUCCGGAUUUAUUGGGCGUAAAGAGCUCGUAGGCGGUUCGAUAAGUCGGAUGUGAAAUCUCCACGCUCAACGUGGAGGGGGCCAUUCGAUACUGUCGUGACUCGAGUCCGGUAGGGGAGUGUGGAAUUCCCGGUGUAGCGGUGAAAUGCGCAGAGAUCGGGAGGAACACCCGUAGCGAAGGCGGCACUCUGGGCCGGUACUGACGCUGAGGAGCGAAAGCGUGGGGAGCAAACAGG